GGACGUGAAGGUCCCCUGCCUGCAACAUCUGCCACUGUGUUGAUCACCAUGAUUGAUUCAGAUGAUGGAGCUAGUUAGGUGGAUGUCCCCUUCCUCCCUUUCUGCUCCAAGUGUGUCCCUCCUGGAGCCAGACACUCGGUGGAAGAAGACAACCAUCUCAGAUAGAAGUGGACACUAUCCUUUCAUCAAAGGUAUACAAUAGCUAGAACCUUCAAAAAAGCUCAAGGUCCAAUUAAAAUAUGAUUUCUAAUUUUUACAAAUUCAAUGGAGUUGCAGGGAGAUUUAAAUU
rnacentral:snRNA from 1 species